rnacentral:rRNA from 1 species
UACGGAGGGGGCUAGCGUUGUUCGGAAUUACUGGGCGUAAAGCGCACGUAGGCGGGCUGGAAAGUCAGGGGUGAAAUCACGGGGCUCAACCCCGGAACUGCCUUUGAAACUUCCAGUCUUGAGGUCGAGAGAGGUGAGUGGAAUUCCGAGUGUAGAGGUGAAAUUCGUAGAUAUUCGGAGGAACACCAGUGGCGAAGGCGGCUCACUGGCUCGAUACUGACGCUGAGGUGCGAAAGCGUGGGGAGCAAACAGG